UUCGCAUGAAGCAGUGUGAAAAACUCCGGUGGUAUACGAUGGAUCCGCGUCUGAUUAGCUGGUUGGCGGGGUAACAGCCCACCAAGGCGACGAUCAGUAGCCGGCCUGAGAGGGUGAACGGCCACAUUGGGACUGAGACACGGCCCAAACUCCUACGGGAGGCAGCAGUGGGGAAUAUUGCACAAUGGGGGAAACCCUGAUGCAGCGACGCCGCGUGAGUGAAGAAGUAUUUCGGUAUGUAAAGCUCUAUCAGCAGGGAAGAAAAUGACGGUACCUGACUAAGAAGCCCCGGCUAACUACGUGCCAGCAGCCGCGGUAAUACGUAGGGGGCAAGCGUUAUCCGGAUUUACUGGGUGUAAAGGGAGCGUAGACGGCAGCGCAAGUCUGAAGUGAAAUCCCAUGGCUUAACCAUGGAACUGCUUUGGAAACUGUGCAGCUGGAGUGCAGGAGAGGUAAGCGGAAUUCCUAGUGUAGCGGUGAAAUGCGUAGAUAUUAGGAGGAACACCAGUGGCGAAGGCGGCUUACUGGACUGUAACUGACGUUGAGGCUCGAAAGCGUGGGGAGCAAACAGGAUUAGAUACCCUGGUAGUCCACGCCGUAAACGAUGAUUACUAGGUGUUGGGGGACCAAGGUCCUUCGGUGCCGGC
rnacentral:rRNA from 1 species